CCCUACAAUUUGUAGGCUAGAAGUCAAAAGGUCAGACCGACCUCAGCGAAUGGGCUUGCAGUCAAACCAUAUACAUGGGUUAUUGGUGGACACCUAUAUAUGAAUUAUUUGGAAUCUAUAUAAGUUUCUUAAUUUGAUGUUCAAUUUCAGGAGUUUCACUUGAAGACGACUUAGCUUUGAAGUUUGAAGAGUAGAACUUCUUGGGGUUCAUAUUAUUUUCGGCUGCUUUCAAAGCUGUCGUCAUCUUUCUGGGGAAAGUAUUAACACAUACAUA